UUUCACAAUCCAAUGAUACAAAAGAAUGACGUUCGUUGACGUCUGAUUUAUUACAAAAUACAACGAUACGAAAGGAAGUCUCUUUCUUUGACGUCUGACAUAUUACACAAUACAAUGAUACAAAAGGAAGUCUUCCGUUGAUAUAUUACACAAUACAAUGAUA